rnacentral:rRNA from 1 species
GACGAACGCUGGCGGCGUGCUUAACACAUGCAAGUCGAACGGAAAGGCCCUGCUUUUGUGGGGUGCUCGAGUGGCGAACGGGUGAGUAACACGUGAGUAACCUGCCCUUGACUUUGGGAUAACUUCAGGAAACUGGGGCUACUACCGGAUAGGAGCUCCUGUUGCAUGGUGGGGGUUGGAAAGUCUCGGCGGGUGGGGAUGGACGCGCGGCUUAUCAGCUUGUUGGUGGGGUAGUGGUUUGCCAAGGCUUUGGCGGGUAGCCGGCCUGGGAGGGUGAACGGCCACAUUGGGACUGCGGUACGGCCCAGACUCCAACGGGAGGCAGCAGUGGGGAAUAUUGCACAAUGGGCGGAAGCCUGAUGCAGCAACGCCGCGGGCGGGAUGCCGGCCUUCUGGUUGUAAACCGCUUUCGCCUGUGACGAAGCUUGAGUGACGGUAAUGGGUAAAUAAGCACCGGCUAACUACGUG